AUUGAACGCUGGCGGCAGGCCUAACACAUGCAAGUCGAGCGGAUGAAGGGAGCUUGCUCCUGGAUUCAGCGGCGGACGGGUGAGUAAUGCCUAGGAAUCUGCCUGGUAGUGGGGGAUAACGUCCGGACACGGGCGCUAAUACCGCAUACGUCCUGAGUGAGAAAGUGGGGGAUCUUCGGACCUCACGCUAUCAGAUGAGCCUAGGUCGGAUUAGCUAGUUGGUGGGGUAAAGGCCUACCAAGGCGACGAUCCGUAACUGGUCUGAGAGGAUGAUCAGUCACACUGGAACUGAGACACGGUCCAGACUCCUACGGGAGGCAGCAGUGGGGAAUAUUGGACAAUGGGCGAAAGCCUGAUCCAGCCAUGCCGCGUGUGUGAAGAAGGUCUUCGGAUUGUAAAGCACUUUAAGUUGGGAGGAAGGGCAGUAAGUUAAUACCUUGCUGUUUUGACGUUACCAACAGAAUAAGCACCGGCUAACUUCGUG
rnacentral:rRNA from 1 species